GUUGACUUUAAAUUGGACUCUGCCAGGAAUUCCUUUUCCUCUUGGGUUUAGUGGUGAGCAGGAGGGACUUAGCAUAUCACAGAGCCCCCGGCAGCCAAGCUACCGGGUGUCCUGGCCCCCUUCAGUUCCCUCCCUUGUCCUCCUCGAGGACCCCCCAACUCAGGCACCCACACCACGGGGGGCUGCGGGACCCCGAGCCUCACUCGUGCCACCGGCCACCCAGCGUCCCCUGCAUCUUCCCCGGGGACUCACACACCGCCUCGAGGCCACUCCGCCCCUCCGGAUGGAUGUCCAAGCCUCCAGCCAGGGCCCCUUCCCUGCUUCAUCUCCAGGGUUGACGGAGGUCGAAGGAGCACAUGUCUGCUUGCAGGGCACGCCAGGUCCUGAUGGACACUGACGUCUAGACCUAGACGGUGGCUCAGCCUGAACCCUGGACGGCCUGGAGCACAGCCAUGCAACUGCUUCUAAGACAAAACCGAGGAGCAUCUGCCAACGUCUCCACAUUGUGGACCUGAGAUUGUUCUCCGGAAGCUGCAGUCGGAGCAUCGCCAGGCCCAGCCCUGGGUCCUCCACCCGGGCCACUGCCUCUCAGGCGGCCUCUCCCUGCCCCCGCCCCUCCGGGGCCCCACAGGGCGGCCAGUGCAGACCUGGGUGUGCAACGGCCCCAUCAGCGUUUGUUUCAUGAACAAAUAAAUGUCUAAAUUCAGGACCCAUCCAGGAGUCCCCUUUUUCUUUCAGUGAGAUGAAGUUCCUAUAACAUAGAAUUCCAGUGUGGGCAGCCGGGCACGGUGGCUCACGCCUGUCAUCCCAGCACUUUGGGAGGGCGAGGCGGGC
rnacentral:lncRNA from 1 species